GGUUGGUUUUUUGGGGAAGCUAUCAGUUACUUAGCAUUGAGAGACUUUCUUCCUGUUUUCUAGGGAUCUGUUAAGGUUGGUGACAAGACUGCUCUGCUCAAAUAUAUCCAGCCUGACAAAAAUGUGAAAGAACAGCAUCAUGAUCCACCAGCUAACGCUGCUCCAGCCAGCAAUGACGGUUUGUUACCAAAUCCAGUCCUGAAUAUAAAAGAGGAAACCGAUUCCAAGCUUGUGCAGGAUCCUGCCUCUCAAGGUGCGUGGCAGAGAAGCUCCAACUUGACUCCUGAAGCAUGGCAACAGCAAGUGGACCAACAGCUACAACAGCAGGAGGUGGAGCAACAGGCAGAGGAAUGGACCAAUCAGAAAGCAUCUCGCCAAAACCUGCAGCACUCCGAUCCAGUCUUCAAGGAGAGCAAGACAAUGAUUAUCAAGAACAUUUUGCCUACCACCACCGUGGAGACCAUUCUGCAAGCCCUCGAUCCGUUUGCAUACCUGGAUGAGCGCAAUGUUCGUCUGGUCAAAGGGAAGUCACCUGGAUCCAAAUGCUUCUGCUUUGUCGAUAUGGAUUCGCAUGAGCAUGUGACACGAUUGGUGGAGCUGCUCACCAAACCCCGGCCUAUCAUGAUUGAUGGAGUGAGAGUUUAUGCUGAGGUUGCCAAGCCUUUGAAAAACCA